AAGUGAGUAUGCAUGAUAUGUUUCUGCGUAUUUAUUUAUUUCUGAAGUCGUUAUCUACCUCACGCAUUCAAUCAACUAUAUGUAUAUAAUUUUUCUUCCCAGGACGACUCGAGUGCCGGGUGCCCCCACGACUGGUUUCUCUACGACAACGCCUGCUACAUGCUUCAGGAUCAGAGGAUGACCUUUACCGAGGCAAAUGAUUUCUGCUCCUCCCUUGUCGCCACCGCCUCUCUGACUAAGGUCACCAACUACGAGGAGCUGGCUGCCAACGUGCCUCUGAAAGAUGCCUAUUUCUUCUGGAUCGGUCUUCACUCGACACCGACUGUGGACGGAAAACUGCUGUGGGAUAACGGUGACGAGGCGGAGCCGACCAACUGGCUGAAACUCUCCUACUCCGAGCCAGACGGCGACGACAUCGGACCUGGGAACGACUGUGUCAUGGUCAAUGGUCUGGAGAAGGAUGAACUGUUUUCGACUGGCGAGUGGGGCGACUAUGACUGUAGCUACGAGUCCAAGUUUCUCUGCGCUCUGGAGAUCUGAAGGAGUUGAUACCCGUGCUGAAGAGGAUCGGUUACGGUUCUGUCAAGAGGUCUCUGAUUUUUAAUGUUCUGCAGUGAGCUGAGAAUUUGAAAAGGACGACCUAGACCCCAUCCAAAAAGUCCUCUGUCUAAAAAAAGUCAAAGCAUGUGAGCUAUCUUUUUGUCAAAAGUCAGCUAUCGACUGAGAGAAUGGUGAAAGUUUCUCUAAUCAGCCUUUUGAUGUCAUGACGUACCUAUACCUACCUAACGCGGACCUUUUUGUGUGCCCCUGAAUGGAACUGGUUUGUGUGUGGGGAUAACUUAGGUAUAUAUUUUAUUCUUGUUGAGAAAUAUAGCAUAUUUUUGUGUGCUGUGAGACGUCAGUAUUAUAACUAGGACCUUAGCGUAAACAUUAUUUAACUGUUAAAUUUUAUAUUCUUGUUGGUUCGGAAAAGGCGUUCUAAGACCCGGAAUUAAAAAUCAAAAGGUGGUUAAUGGCUGGUUUACGGUGCUCACUGUUCAAGUGUUGAUUUGGAAAAUAUACAAAAUGUAUUUUUUAA